UACGUAGGGGGCAAGCGUUAUCCGGAUUUACUGGGUGUAAAGGGAGCGCAGGUGGCAAGGCAAGCCAGAAGUGAAAACCCGGGGCUUAACCCCGCGGAUUGCUUUUGGAACUGUCUGGCUGGAGUGCAGGAGGGGCAGGCGGAAUUCCUGGUGUAGCGGUGAAAUGCGUAGAUAUCAGGAGGAACACCGGUGGCGAAGGCGGCCUGCUGGACUGUAACUGACACUGAGGCUCGAAAGCGUGGGGAGUAAACAGG
rnacentral:rRNA from 1 species